UUCAGGUUGUUAAAACAGAAAAAAACUUGACAAUUAAGUUUAGGCAUCAAUUCUGACUGGUUAAGGUAAGGGUUAAGUUUUGGGAUAAGGUUGAAACAGAAAACAAUUAAAACAAGUCCCUAGCAUUGGGAUUGAACCCACAAACCUCUCAGCCAAAGCCUGCGGUUUAAGCUUUUCCUCUAUCUCAAUCCACAACACCCUAGCAAGCUGUGCGUCUACUAGAUGGUAUUACGUGUUCAUGUUGCCCCUAGUGGACAGUAUUGAAGACAUCUGACGUCCUGGGGACCUGGACAAACGUUGAAUACUGAAGUGUAUCUGGUGUGACCUAGCUGUUUAUACGGCAGUCACACACACACACACGCACGACACACACACACACACACAUCUGUUUAGACCAAUCUACUCUCCAGACAGAGGUGUCAACAGACAAUUCAACAGUCAACAUACCUGAUGAAUAAUGGGGAAUAUGAGAAUAUGUGCCUCUUUGUGAACUUUAAGCUGUUACAGUCAUUAUGUUUGGACCAGAAAGAUUGUAAUUGCCUGGAAAAUUAGUAGAGAAAAGGAGAAAGUCCACACUUUGAAUUAGAGUAGAAGAAAAAAAAUUAUUCAGACAAACAUGUCCUAUUUGCUAAUGAGUCGUAUGGAAUGUAGAUGAUAUAGCAGGAUAAUUAUACAAUGCUUUAUAAUGAUAAUGCCCCCUCAGGUAGGAACGGUGUAGGUAAGGGUCAGGUCCCCCUCAGGUAGAAACUGAGCAGGUCAGGAGGUUGGUGGCAUCUUAAUUGGGAAGGACGAGCUUGUGUUAAUGGCUGUUGUGGAAUGGAUUCAAAAACAUCAAAUAGCAUUCCAUUCAUAUGUGCCAUCCUCCCCUCAGCAGUCUCCACUGUCGUGCAGGUCAGGGUUCCCCUCAGGUAGAAACUGUGCAGGUCAGAGUGAGGGCCUCCCAGGUAGGAACUGUGCAGGUCAGAGUGAGGGCCUCCCAGGUAGGAACUAUGCAGGUCAGAGUGAGGGCCUCCCAGGUAGGAACUGUGCAGGUCAGAGUGAGGGCCCCCCUCAGGUAGGAACUGUGCAGGUCAGAGUGAGGGCCCCUCUCAGGUAGGAACUGUGCAGGUCAGGGCCCAUUUCAUUACAAUUCCAUCAAUUUGGAAUGAAUUAAAAUGCCAAUCGAUUAAUUAAAUGAAUGCUAUUUUGUCUUCCAUUUUUUUAUUAAAUAAAAUAUCCCACAUAGCAAUAGGAGCUCAAUCCUAUUUGAAAUGUCAAGUCUCAAUAUCAUCAGAUGUUUAGAGUGAGUUUAGAAGUUACAUUUACUCAAAUGAAUCCCCCGACCUCAACCAAAUUGAGAUAGUUUGGGAUAAGUCGGACCGCAGAGUGAAGGAAAAGCAGUGCUCAGCAUAUGUGGAAACUCCUUCAAGACUGUUGGAAAGCAUUCCAGGUGAAGCUGGUUGAGAGAAUGCCAAGUGUGUGCAAAGCUGUCAAGGCAAAGGGUGGCUAUUUGAAGAACCUCAAAUGUAAAAUAUAUUUUGAUUUGUUUGUUUAACACUUUUUUUGCUUACUACAUAUGUGUUAUUUCAUAGUUUUGAUGUCUUCCCUAAUAUUCUACAAUGUAGAAAAUAGUUUUAAAAAAAUAAAGAAAAAACUUGAAUGAGUAGGUGGGUCCAAACUUUUGACUGGUACUGUAUAUAUUUUUACAAUACAAAACAUCCACAUACGAACAACAACUUACAGACAAACACAAACAUCCACAACAUCACUCCUGCUCAGACCCACCUGCUCACACCAUCUCCAGAGCCCACAGUACUCUCCGCCAAAUGCCCUCAAACUGCACCAUUUUGUGGGAGAACCUAGACAUUCAUCAGCCUUACAUCAUGGGGGAUGAAGUAGAGAACCUAGACAUUCAUCAGCCUUACAUCAUGGGGG
rnacentral:lncRNA from 1 species